UAAUGCUCGGAUUCACAAAGAUUGGCCAUGACGAUCAUAACAUAUUGUAAAUAGUUUGUCGUCUUGUGUGUGCAAUAUGUAUUUGGGGAUGAUCUCAGUAUCUAAGUAUCCAGGACAUGAAUCGUGUAGUCGUAUUUCGUCUUACUUCUUGUUUGUGUUUUGUGGAGUGACUUUUAAAAGUGGCCUUUUAAAUAUUUUAUACAUAUACUAAAACUACAAUGGCAUGCAUAGUUGCUUGGUUAUUUCACUGUGACCUUUUUCAAUUCAGGAUGUAGCAGUACUCGAAAUUGACGAUAAAUAAUAGUGGAAGAGUUCAUUUUGAUGCUAUCAAAAAAAACGUCUACUACGGUGUAGCUGUUAACUUUUCAUCGUGGAGGAGUUGUAGUUAAUGAAGAAACAUUAUAAAAACUUUGGAUGGCAUUAAAGCAGUGAUUGUAUCAGUCCUUAUUCGCUCCAGAGCAUAGCUGUAAAUAUGGUGCCGUAGAAAGCACGAAGUGCCUUUUUUUUCAUUGAAAAUGGAGCAGUGUACCAUUGCUAAAGGAAAGAUUUAUGACAAUGAACUGAUUGUCCAACAAAUAAGAUGGAGUUAUAAUUAAUUUUGAUGUUACUGAAAUCAUCAGUGCUUUUGAUGUCUUCACAUAAUGCAGUUAAUUUUGAGCAUGUGAGAGAGAAGUAACUAGAGAUUAAUUUGGAAACCACUGAAACAACAAAUUUGUCUGCCGUGGUAGCCCUGGUGGAUUUGGCUAUAGUUUAUUAAGAUUGCCCAACAAAUGAGAGAAUUACAAUUCAGUUUGGUCCCACUGAAACAACUAAUGUCUACAUGGGUGUGGUCUUUCAUGAAGUAUAUUCUUGAUUUGCUGUUUUUGUCUUCGUCUUCCAACAUUAUGCAGUCAAUUUUCAACCGACGAGUGAGAGCAACUGGAGAUUUAUUCCAAUUCCACUGAAACAACAAAUUUUCUGCUGGCAUUUCUCCUGAAGUUGGUUUGCUUUUCACACCUGCAAACUUUGAAACAUUAUGUUCUACAGUUAUUUAAGAUCGACGUUGGAGAAGACAGAUGACCCCAUAGUUAAAGA
rnacentral:lncRNA from 1 species